CCGAUAUAGCUCAGUUGGCCAGAGCACGUGAUUUGUAAUCUCGGGGUCGUGGGUUCGAAUCCCUCUAUC
rnacentral:tRNA from 1 species